rnacentral:rRNA from 1 species
UAGGGAAUCUUCGGCAAUGGGCGAAAGCCUGACCGAGCAACGCCGCGUGAGCGAUGAAGGCCUUCGGGUCGUAAAGCUCUGUUGUUAGAGAAGAACAAGUACGAGAGUAACUGCUCGUACCUUGACGGUACCUAACCAGAAAGCCACGGCUAACUACGUGCCAGCAGCCGCGGUAAUACGUAGGUGGCAAGCGUUAUCCGGAAUUAUUGGGCGUAAAGCGCGCGCAGGCGGUCUCUUAAGUCUGAUGUGAAAGCCCACGGCUCAACCGUGGAGGGUCAUUGGAAACUGGGAGACUUGAGUGCAGGAGAGAAAAGUGGAAUUCCACGUGUAGCGGUGAAAUGCGUAGAGAUGUGGAGGAACACCAGUGGCGAAGGCGGCUUUUGGUCCUGUAACUGACGCUGAGGCGCGAAAGCGUGGGGAGCGAAACAGGAUUAGAUACCCUGGUAGUCCACGCCGUAAACGAUGAGUGCUAGGUGUUGGGGGGUUCCG